rnacentral:rRNA from 1 species
GACGAACGCUGGCGGCGUGCUUAACACAUGCAAGUCGAACGGAAAGGCCCUGCUUUUGUGGGGUGCUCGAGUGGCGAACGGGUGAGUAACACGUGAGUAACCUGCCCUUGACUUUGGGAUAACUUCAGGAAACUGGGGCUAAUACCGGAUAGUAGCUCCUGCUGCAUGGUGGGGGUUGGAAAGUUUCGGCGGUUGGGGAUGGACUCGCGGCUUAUCAGCUUGUUGGUGGAGUAGUGACUUACCAAGGCUUUGACGGGUAGCCGGCCUGAGAGGGUGACCGGCCACAUUGGGACUGAGAUGCGGCCCAGACUCCUACGGGAGGCAGCAGUGGGGAAUAUUGCACAAUGGGCGGAAGCCUGAUGCAGAAACGCCGCGUGCGGGAUGACGGCCUUCGGGUUGUAAACCGCUUUCGCAUGUGACGAAGCGUGAGUGACGGUAAUGGGUAAAGAAGCACCGGCUAACUACGUG